rnacentral:rRNA from 1 species
GACGAACGCUGGCGGCGUGCUUAACACAUGCAAGUCGAGCGACGCUCUUCCUUCGGGGAGAUGACGGAGCGGCGAACGGGUGAGUAACACGUGGGCAACCUGCCCCUAGCUCUGGGACAACACCGGGAAACCGGUGCUAAUACCGGAUACGACAUCGAGCGGCAUCUCUCGAUGUGGAAAGUUUUUUCGGCUAGGGAUGGGCCCGCGGCCUAUCAGCUUGUUGGUGGGGUAAUGGCCCACCAAGGCGACGACGGGUAGCCGGCCUGAGAGGGCGACCGGCCACACUGGGACUGAGACACGGCCCAGACUCCUACGGGAGGCAGCAGUGGGGAAUAUUGCGCAAUGGGCAAAAGCCUGACGCAGCGACGCCGCGUGAGGGAUGACGGCCUUCGGGUUGUAAACCUCUUUCAGCAGGGACGAAUUCAGACGGUACCUGCAGAAGAAGCACCGGCCAACUACGUG